rnacentral:misc_RNA from 1 species
UUGUAACUAGGAGGAAUUAGUUUUGUAAUUAUUAGUUGAAGAUUGAUUUUAAUGUCCUUCAGUGAUAUCAGGAUCACAAGACAAUGAAAAGGAGGACAGUUUCACCAGUGUAUUCAGGUAUGUUGGCACAGGCAUCUGCAAUGGAAGACUAGGCAAUGAAGUUGCGAAAUUAAGCACAUGAAUUGAUUGGCUAAUUGAGGGUCUCAGACUUUUAUCUGG